rnacentral:rRNA from 1 species
UACGUAGGGUGCAAGCGUUGUCCGGAAUUAUUGGGCGUAAAGAGCUCGUAGGCGGCUUGUCGCGUCUGCUGUGAAAACCCGAGGCUCAACCUCGGGCUUGCAGUGGGUACGGGCAGGCUAGAGUGCGGUAGGGGAGAUUGGAAUUCCUGGUGUAGCGGUGGAAUGCGCAGAUAUCAGGAGGAACACCAAUGGCGAAGGCAGAUCUCUGGGCCAACACUGACGCUGAGACGCGGAAGCUAGGGUAGCAAACGGGAUUAGAUACCCCUGUAGU